CUUGUUCUCGUUCAAAACAUCCUCAUUGAUUCAAAAAAAUAUCAUCACAUAAAGAUUAGAUCUUCAAGGCAAAACAAAAGAAUCGAAAUCAUGGGUAAGGGGUUUUUGAGAGUCUUGUUUGCUGCUCUUAUGUUGGUUUUGGUUAUGAUGUCUGCUGCACCACAUACUGUUAAUGCCGGUGAGCCAAGUUGGGGUAAUAUCCCUGAGGAUGCGGACGGUCAAUGGGACGAAAAUGAUGGAUGAAACUAGUCACUGCAUACUAGUACUGCAAAAGCGCGUCAAGUUUUUAAUUACAUAAAUAAAUGAUUUGCAUAUAUUUGCAAGUGUGUGCUCUGUAAAAGGAGGUGAACUCUGCAGCUGCUAUUGUGGUCUUCUUAUAGACGACCUUGGGCUCAUUUGUCGCUGCUUGAGUCGCAGUAAAAAUUUAAUAUAAUCUAUGUGUGUUUGUGCGUGAGCAAAUUCUUAUCGGUAUGGUGUUCCUCUAGUGUUGCAUUUUCUCCAUUCAAGGAAGGAUAAUGGAGAAUGAAUAUAGGUUUGGUUUUUGA